AUGGGGAUAAUAUACCUAGGGGUGGGGGUUUAAUUUGUAUCACAGUGAUUGUACACCCAGAAACUGAAAGACUCAACCUAGAAUAUUUCAUAUGAAUCCUAUCUAAAAAAAAAAAAAGAGUUAGGUCAUAAACUUAUUUUUAAUAAUUUUAGAAUAUAGUUCCAUAGUUUAUACUAUAUAAAUAAUGAUAUUUUGACAAAUUUGAUAAAUUAAAGAGAUGCUUCAUUAGACCUAGAUAUGGGACUUGAAUCGGCUCAAAGCUACGUACGUUAAGCUACGCAAUUGAAAAUCAUAGCAAAUAUAAUGAACUUCCUUGGAGGAGCAAGUCAAACCAACGCACCUAAGUAUGUCAUUUGCUUUGUGAUUUUUAACCGAGUGAUCAUAUUCUAAAGUUCAUCUUCAAUUGAUGACUAUAUCUGAAACACCUAAUCCUUUGAUUCCUGGUCAUACUAUCAGUAGAUUAAUAUUCUAGUUUAUUUGACAGGUGGGAUAGAGCUAGGGAACUGAAUGUUUUAUACCAUUCUAAAGGUCCUGGAAGAUUGAAAACUCUAUUGUUACUUUUUUCCAAGUGCUUGUGGAAGCUUAACUAAUGGCUCCUUUUAGUUA
rnacentral:lncRNA from 1 species